ACACAAGGCUAAAAGGAGAAUUAAGCGUCUGGCAGUCAGGAGCUCGGCUCCACUGCAAGGGAGGUUUCAUAGCAAUAUGCUUCAAGAUCAAUUACCAAAACAAAGAAAAAGAAAAAAAGGGAAACAAAAACGAAAGACAGCAGUGUGCUGCAUAACACUGGGUGCUAAGGAGCCUGCAGAAAAACAUUGGAGGUGGAAGGUUUGGUCCUUGGACGUGUGUAAUGGCCUGCUGUCUUUGAGGAAGGACAUUUCUCCCUCCUCCCGGUCCCACACCCACAGCAGUGCCUGCCUUGCACUGACACAGCUGGUCAUGGGGCUGUGUUGUGAAACCUCGCGGGGAGGUGAUGGGGAGGAAGGGUUGUGUAACUCAAAUGCGUUCCCCAGCCCAAUUCACAGCCAAGUCUCAUCAAUUGGCUGCAGUGGGGAGAAUACCUAGAACCGAUCUUGCCACCAACACAGCAUAUUGUCGUCCCACUGCCUAACUGCAGUGCCUCUGUCGUGUUUGGGACAGCUGCACCCCAAAGACCUGGGCAGGGGGUAAGGCAGGAGCUCUUUUUCCAGCCUCACUUCCCUGAAUACAGGCAGCUCGACCUUCCCCAUAUCUGCACAUCAUGUGGGGCAAAGCAUCAGGGAGGUUUCUUACCUGGCACCACCAAUGAGCUGGUCCCAGCAGGGCAAAGAGUGAAUGCAGUUCUCUCCUGGGGCUGGGGCUGCAGGGCUUCAGUGCUCCUCAGCUGGCAGCAGCUGCACGAGAACUGCUCCCGUGCUAAACCCAAACCUCCUCUGUCAGUCAUCGGGUGUAAUAAAGUCUCAUUAGCAGAAAACAAUCCCACUGAGCAGCGCUCCCCUCUGCUAUGCCCUCCUUUCAGGCUUCAUCCCCUUAUCCCACACGCUCUCACUGGGGACAGGGCACUUCCCUUGUUUACAGGUGAGGUGAGCACUGUUGCUAACACGAGCUAACCAACCCAUUGGCAAAGUGAGGGGGGAUGGGAAGCCCACAUGCAGCCCAUGCCAAAAGCAGUCUGCUUAACUUAAAGUAGUCCCCGUCCUUCCCUGUAGUCUGCACCAGCUAAUGCAGCAUCACUCUAGGCCUGCACCAGCACCUGGCAUUGUUUAGAAGUGUCUUGGUCACUUUCAGAUUUAUAUCUAUUUGAUUUUACCUGUAUCUCUUUCCCCCUUUGCAGCAGGGCCUGUUGCUUAUGGCCACACAACACAAGGAGAAAACAACACUGCUGAGAGAAGCCACAAAUCCACCUGAUCCCACCCCAUCCAGUGCCAUGACCUGAUACAACCUUAUCCAUUAAUUAAUGGGAACCUGUUCCUAACAGCACCUAGACACGCUGUUCCCAGGCUUGCUGUCAUCAUUGGUGCUGUUCCCUUGAACGCACCGUAUGCAGCCCGGCAGGGCCUGCUGGGGGGUGAGGAUUUUACAUACAGCUGUAGAGAUCAGCAGUGGUGACUAACCUUAUAAAACACACUUUUUAAAGCGCUGAUGAUGGAGUAGACACUAAUUACGCCUGGGGAGCGCAGUCCCACGGCCACCUUCAGCACACAUGACUGCACAAAGCAGGAUGUGAAGGACAGCACUGAAGCACAGUCACAGUUAAGUUGUCUUCUGGACAGCUGGUUGUGGUUGGGUAAAACUUAACGAAGAUCUGAAAAAUGUGAUACUAAAAUUGUUCGGCAGGACUUUCAUGUUUUUAGGUCUGCAAAGCUGAGUUUUCUCCUUAUAAUUAUGGUAGUAAAUUGCUGAGAAAGAGAGCAAAUGCUUUUGAUUGCAGCCAUUGUCAGUGCCGUGUACACACUUAAAUUUAGUCAGAAUCAGGAAUCAUUCUUUUUGCCUACGUAUCAAAACCGUGACCUUCCCUCACCAGCACCACGCAGAUUAUUCAGUGCAGCAUACAGCCCUUGCCAGCAAACUGCAGAGCAUCAGGCUGUUCUCACGGGGUGGUGAGGGUGAAGCUGUGCACCCAGGGCACUGCAGCUGUGCCAAUGGGUGACUCUAACCCUUAGCUUUUCCACAGCCAGUGUGAUAUUCACAACAGCCAGGAAAGAAUGUUUUCAAAAGAUUCAACUCUUCACUUCUGAUUGAGUUUUAAAUCAGUCUUAUUUUUAUCCCAGGCUAUUUAUUCACUGCUGUCAUAGCAAUUGGGUGCACCGCCAUAAUAAAAAGUUAUUUUGAGGGGCUACUGCUUUUACAGCUGAGAUAUGCACAUUGGCCUUUUCUGUAGUGUUUGCUUUUUAAUUAAUAACUGGAGCAUUGCCAGAAGGAAAAGAGAAGUAGGAACAAGUCCUAGGUAAUAAAAUCAUCAAGGUUAUCUUGUUCUUGUUUCACUGCAGCAGUGUAAGAGGGAGAGAUGUCAGAUGCAGCCAGGCAGCAAGAAAGUGCAGUAGGUUAUACAGGAAAGCACCCAGCUGUGUCUUGAAUAUCUCCAGCAAAGGAGACUCCACGGGCUCUCCAGGCAGCCUGUUGCAGUUCUCCGUCACCCUCACAGGAAAGAAGUUCUUCUGCAUGCUCUUAUGGAACUUGCUGUGUUGUCGCUUUUGCCCAUUCCCUUUGUUCUGUCAGUGCACACCACUGAAAAGAACCCGGCCUGAUCCAUCUGUCUCCCACCCAGUAGAUAUUUAUAAACAGUGAUAAGAUUCCCACUCAGUCUUUUCUUCUCACCUUCUUCACCUGGAAUAUGCCAAGCAUAGUCUCUUCACUAGUGAGAAAACUUAGGAACACACGUACUGGAGCAGCUUCAGCUGAACCUCUUUCAUUUUGCUUUUAUUUUUUUGCAGAUACGGUGUUAAGCACCAGUGAACUCCCAGCUGCGGAAACGCUGCCAGUCCUCAUAUAUAACAUAGGUCCUGAAACCAUCUUGACUUCAUGCCUCUCCUUGCUGAGGCUCUGCUGCAUGACUUCCCUUGGAGUCUCUCAGAGCCAGCUUGGGUAACCUAACUCCAGUUAAAGCCAUUUGUUUUGUGGGACGGGUGCUGACCUCCCAGCUGGCUGUUGUCUGGGCAGCACAAAGGCCUGCCAGUAAGCAGAGGAGACCAAGCCAACACCAUGCGCAGGAGGUUUGUCAAGACACUCCCAAAGGCUUGUCAAGGAUCUUGCAGCCAUGACAGGAGUGACGGUUCACUCAGCCCACAGCCGUGCGGGGCACAGCGGACAUUUCACCACCAGGCUGGGACUGGCACGUCCCUAGUGAGAUGGAGAAGCUGGGCUGUUCUGAAGCUCCCUCGGGGGCACUCAUCAGGCUUGAUCCCAAAGGAAGUGCAGGCAUCCUCACUGUGCCAGCUCCCUGUGGACCCUGGCAAAGCAGCAGUUACAAGUGGUGGUUUCAGUCCCGUUGUUGUGGCUGGGAAACUCCUGCCCCACACCCAUCACCAGACCCCAGGCAUCUCCUGUAACUGGUUUCCGUGGUUUUGUGCUCAUAAAACCUUUGCUGGAGGCCACAGGCCAUUUGCCUUGCCACACUGCUGGGUUGCGUGCACAGUCAGUGCCUGCGCCUCAGGCUCACAGCAGCAAGCAGAGGCCAGCGGUACUGCUGGGGUACAGGAUGUGGUCCCAGCGCCCCUCAUGGGGCUCCCAGAGCUCAGAGUGGGUCAAGGUGGGGGUGCAGAGCGAUCAGAGGUGUCCAGCUGUGUCAGCCCCAAACCCCUCCCCACCUUUGGUGAGGGCAGUUCAGAGAGAGACACGAAGAACAUGCUAUUUCUUCUGCAGCAGUGUGUACACAUACCGGAGUUAUCAGAAAGCUCUUAUCUUGCUAUUGUAGAAAUCGCUGAUAAAACUUCAGCAACAAUAAAAACAAAAAGAAACGGAGGUAAGGGGAAAUGAAAUAAUCCACGCAUCUCAGCUUAAUACCCAGCCUCAUCACUGCAGGUUAAUGAAAAAUGAAGAUAUAGGGAAGAUAAAUGGAAGAUGUGCCUAGGGACUGAGAUCAGCAGUGUCGUCAGAGUAAAUAAAGGGUUUUCUUCUCGCAGCUCUGUGGAGAAAUCCCUCUGACACGGAUGUGUAUAAAUAAAUGGAACUUCAGACACCAGCGCACAGCACAGAUGAGAUCUGGCCACGUAGAUUAGUAAACCACCAUCUCACGUAUGAAAUCACUGCGGGUUUUGUGCUCGAUCCCGUAUGCGUUUAACUUUUCCCAUGUAAACAGUCUUCCAAAGUUAAUGGAGCUGUAGUAAUUUGCAAUGGCUGGCGAUUCAGCCGGAGGGUUUAAGCAUUCCUGCCGGCUGACGUUGCAGCACAUGAGCUGUAGUAACCCGGCUGCAGGACAGCUUGGAGAUGUUCCUGCUCUGGCACAAACAGCCGUGGCCAUUGCACCGCGUGGCUGGUGGCGUCACCAUGUCCAUGGGCAGAGAAAUGCAGCUCCGGCCCUGCAGAGGAGCGUGCAGACAUGUUGUUGGCCACAGCAAUGUAAAGCUCAUUCCCUGCUUUCUCUCAGUCUCACUGGGGACGUGCCAAUGCUUUCCAGAGACCGUUUCAUUACUGCUAUGCUGCUUACAGGCGUCUUAAUUUAAAUUGCAUUAUAGAUGCAUUGAGGCAAAAUGAUCUAUCCACAGCCUAAAUAAUGAACCGGAGUGAAAACAUCCUUGGGCUGCGAGAAGCUAGAACAAGCACUAAUUGAAAUAUAUAAACUUACAUAACAUUAUUUAUAAAAAGGAGCUCGGUUGUCAAAGGCUGGAGCAUGGGAAUGUUUCUCUGCAGACAAGAAUUAAUUAUGUUGCCUUAUAUAUUUCAGUUACUUUGGUUGCUCAUCUCCAAAUGCGCCCAAGGACUACUUGGAAGGUAUUUAUGGUUCCCAGCCACUGAUUCUGCAUGGUGUUUUUUAACGUAGCACUUGUGCACAUCAUUGCCUCACAGGAUAUUGCAGUGUGUGGGGGGGGUAAUUAGCUUUAUGCACCGUGCUCCUCAGCUUUAAAAGAAAUGCAGAUUUGCCCUGAGGUUCUGCAGUAGUGAAUGUAUUUUAGAAGAUGCUGGAGGGAGGCCAGGGCUCACCAAGUCACCAGAUAGAGGGUGGUGGGGUGGCUGCUACUUCUGGGGCUGCAGCAGAGCUCUGAGGUAGCUGUAAUCAAAUGCACUCCUGCUGUCACCUCUUAUCAUGGCUUUGAUUAAUUUCUGCUUCUACUGCCAGAGAGAUGCCAUGAUGACUCAAUGAAGACCCUCACGCAUGGCUGGAAGAUCCAUGGAGUGGCCAACAACAACCCAGAGUGGGGCCAAACAUCCUCCAGCAAGCACUCCAACCCAGCUUAGUCAGUGUCACAUCGGUCCAGGAGCCUGGCCUCCCUGUUUGCUGAAGAGCACACUGAGCACUGGGAUUUUGACAGCCCUGGUUCCACAGCAAUGAGCUGUCAUCUAUUUUUCCAGAUACAAACCACAUGAAAAGUGCCGCAAACAGUCAGUCAUCAGUGGCUGCUGCAAAGGACUCUGUGCUUCUCUGGCUAGGCUGUCUUAAAAAGGCACUGUCUGUACCCAGCACUGACUGAGCGCCUUUCUGUAAAUAUUUGGAAUAAAUGAAUAUUUGGAAUAAAUGAGCCAUUCAGAUUCCCCAGAAGGGGAAGAAAACAUUUCCACCACCAAUGUGGAGCAAGAUGAGUCAUCAGGUGAAGCUUCUCAGAGACCUCCACGUCCACAGAUGUUUGGUCAAUACAUCCAUGAAGAAGCACACUCAGACAGAUGGCAUGUGAUUUAUUUUAUCGAUAGGUAACAAAGGAGAUAAAGGACCGAUGUACAGAAAUGAAAAGCUCUCAAAAUGCCCAGAAGAACAUUCUAUGGAUUAAGCAGUUCUGGGAAUACGUGGGCUGAGAAGAAAGAAAAUUGCACAGUGAGGAACCUUUUUUGCAAGCAGAUAGCGAAUGCAAACCUUGCACAUUGUGCAAUGCGUGAUUUAAGGUGACGGCACUGGGAGAUAAUCUGGGGAGCACCAGAUUGUAAACAAGUGGCAACUUGGAGGAAUUCCCAGAAAACAAGUGAUUGACUGAAUAAACUGCAAUGCACAUUAGAGAUGCAAAAGGUGACAUCAAAGGAAGAGUGAGAUGAAGGUUACGACAACACACAGCUGCCAUUCACUAAUUACAGGCCGCAGAAAGCAGCAAGUGUGGGGAUGAGAUGCAUCUCUGGACGUGUGCAGCUGAGGUCAUCAUAUGUGGUGCCAGAGGUGCAGUCACAGCCCCAUCCCACCCUUGUUUGCCGUGGUGUGAAUCCACCAUGACUUAUGGGACACAUCACCUGUGUCAGUAGGAAAGCACCAGUACAGACAGGCCUGACUGACUGCUCCGGGCAGUGACAAUGCUGAUUUCAUUCAUAGCGAGGUGGAAGGUUUCCUGGAUAAAUACAUCCAGGGCUUUGUAUGGCUGGAAACCACCUUCCCCCAACCACUGAGCGUGUUGUGGAGGGCAGGAGUGGUAGUCACAGGGCAGAAAGCAGGGCUGGUGGCCAGCUUUCACUGCCACCACUGCAAAGAUAACAGAAACACAGAAUUACUUGAAUUGGAAAGGACUUCAUCCUUGCAUCCCCAGCUUGUACUGAUGGCAGGGGUUGCCGUGAUCCAGGUGCAAGACAACCUUGCACUUGGCUUUGGAUCAGUGAUAGCAGGUAAGGUCCAUGCAUUCCAACAACAAGCCAAGGGUACUCUAGUCCUUCACUCAAGGAAGCACAGCAGAGCUGCAUCCGAGGCCUCUUCUCCUCCACCACUCUCAGCUGAGAGCAGGCACAGUCCUGCUCAAGGGGGAAAUCUGUUCUCCUCGCUCAGUCUAAGAAAGCACAGCAUCCUCUGCCUGCCCAUGUCAAAGCCUGUGAAGCAGAAACGAUUUUACUGUCCAGUGACUGCAGUGUCCUUACCAAGGGUUGAGCAGUGUGGGCCCAAAAAUAUUAAGCUUAUAUUCCUAGUUUUUGCCUGGUAGUUUACUAAGAGCCACCAAGAAGGAAACGAGGAGGAUUCAAUUUAAACAUCUCACCACUACUAGGAAAGUGUCCCAUAACCCCCAUCUUUUUUUGCCCCAGCCUCCCUUGCCUUGCCUGCUCAGCCAUUUCACGUAUUUAUUAUUCUUCAUAUGAAAUAAUACUUCCUGACAUCCAUUCCCAGUUUGUUUCUCUUUAAUUUCCAUUUAUAGCAUAUUUUCCUAUCCUCCGACCAUGUUAGAAUAAAACAAUAAGUAUGUUUGACACGGUGCAAGUUACUUAAGAUCACGAUCCUUCCCUGACCUUGAGGUUGUUUUUUUUUUUAACAUGUGCUAAAAUGCGGAAAAAUAAUGAAAUGAACAUUGAGAGGAGGCAAGUGGAAAGCCAAGAGAAUCAGCAGCCACUCAGCAUUUCACAUCCCUGAUUAUUCACCGACUGGUGUGAGGACCAGGCUCAGCAGCCCCCAUCCUGUUCCACUCUGACAAGUAUCAGCUGCAGCCAGAUGGGGGAAAGUGAAGAGCUGGGGCUGCAUGUUCCUUCCAGAUAGAGGGGAGAACCGGGUGGCUGUAAGAGCUGGGCAGAAGCAUGGGAAAGCAAAUGUUAAUUCCGAGUGUGGUGAUACAAACUGGCUUGGGUGAUGCUUUACCUCCUGACCAGGCAGAUGGGAAAAGGUGCCCUUUCCUUGCUUUGAAAAGAGAGCGUGUGCUUCCAAGUAUAACCUGGCAACUCUACAAGCCAGAAAAACCACGUGGAGAAUCAGUGAGGAGCACUUUAGUUACGGCAUCUCUGUCUUAGUACAGACAGCCAAUGUAAUUUUUGCUCAGGAAAAGGUUGCUUAUGAAACUAAGGAAGAAGCAGUGUAGCCUCCAACCCAAUGUGCUAGCAUGCCUUCCUGUAAGUAACAAGAGCAACACACCAGGGUCGUGCUCCAUCGCUAUUCUAUGGACUACCAGGCAGUUCUCAGUAGGAACCAUCAUGCUCCAUGCGGCUCCUCCACAUCAUCCUGCACAGGGAAGGCAGUAAUUAUGGUUAUUGCUCCUGUUGUGGCAAAGUGGACAACCCCUGAACCAAAACAUGUGAAGCAAAACACCUCAGCUCAGUCCUGCCUGGCUGCAGUUCUGUGUUAUGGCCAGGAAGAGAGGCAAGUUCCCACAGCCAAAAAAAGCCACAGCUCAGUUCCAGUCACGGUGCUCUGUAUGUAUCUUAUCUGCUUUUGGAUGUUUUCUUCACACAACUAUUUUAUCAACAGAGCUUUAUAAUCUGCACAUUUCCCAAGAGCAUUUUCCUUCUGAGGAUUCCUAGCUGAGCACACCCACACUACAAACUCUGGGCUUAGCCUGGGAGUUUGCAAGGUCAAGACAAACAUCAUGGCAAAGAGCAGCCAAGUUAAACUGCGCACUGACAAAGCGCUGGCCUCUCAAACACAUCACGCAGCACAUGCCAGGGCUGUGCCACAUAAGGUUCAGGAGCCAGAAGGUUAAGAGGGGCAGCCAGCCUUCAGGGAAGCAGGUUGGAAUUGGCUUUGGAAGCUUGUCACUACAUCAGGCUUUUGGGAAACCAGUGUCACCUUGUGAUGGCCAAGAGAUGCUCCCGUGGCUGUCCCAUGGCUCUCUGUGGCAUGGGGUGAGUAUUCAUCAGCAGCCCUGCAGGGCCAGCUCACAUGCUUGGGAACCAGUUACUUAAUCCUCAGCAGCACAAAGACUUGUGAUUAGAAAAAAGUGUGUUUGUGACCCUUCUCCCUCAACUCUCUGCACUUCAUCUCUUGUGCUCCAAGCUCUGGGCAGGCAGAGUUUGCGUAGGUAGAUCUGUCCUACAUAGCCCAUGGUUUGGAAGGAUAAACACAAAUCCCCCCAGUCUGUCUCUUCCUUCUGCUCAUUUCUCCCCUGCCACAAUUGGCCAAUUUACCUUUGCUGUUCUCCCAGAGCAGCAUUUACAGCAUCUGGAAGAGUAAGAAACUGAUGGGUAGGAAAAAAAAA